rnacentral:rRNA from 1 species
CAGUAGCCGCGGGAAUACGAAGGGGGCUAGCGUUGUUCGGAUUUACUGGGCGUAAAGGGCGCGUAGGCGGACUGAUAAGUCAGGGGUGAAAUCCCAAGGCUCAACCUUGGAACUGCCUUUGAUACUGGGGUCCUUGAGUCCGGAAGAGGUGAGUGGAACUGCGAGUGUAGAGGUGAAAUUCGUAGAUAUUCGCAAGAACACCGGUGGCGAAGGCGGCUCACUGGUCCGGAACUGACGCUGAGGCACGACAGCGUGGGGAGCAAACAGGAUUAGAUACCCGGGUAGUCCCUGUCUCUUAUAA